rnacentral:tRNA from 1 species
AACAAGAUGGUUGAAAAUUAAACGAUAAACUGUAAAUUUAUUUAUGAGGUAGUACCUCUCUUGUAA